rnacentral:lncRNA from 1 species
GGAGGGGGCGCCCCGAAGGCGGGCGGCAGGGGCGGAUCGGGCUUCUUGGCUUGGGAAGAGGAAGAGGACGAAGAUGACGACGAGGAGGACGAAGAGGAGGAGGAGGAGGACGAGGACGAGGACGAGGAGGGCACCUCCGCCUUGGGCUUGAAGGUGGACUGGGGCGGGUAGUCAUACUGCGGGGGAGGGGGCUGCGGCGGGGGCUGCGGCGGGGGGCCGGGGGCGCAGGGCAGGGCCGCCACCGCCUUGGCGUGUUCCCCAUACAGUUCCAUGGGCUCGAAGCGCUGGUGGUUGAGGAAUUCCAGGAAGUCGAAGGGGUAGCUCUGGAAGUGCACCCCGUCCUCGCCCCCGAUGCCGCUGCUCCCGCCACCCCCGGCGCCGCUGCCCGCUGGGUUCGCCUCCAUCUCCGGCGGGUGGGAGACGGGAGACCCUGUGAAGAGGAGGACGGGGCUGAGGACACGGCCGCGGCGCUGGGUCUCCCCGCAGAUGGCAGGUAUCCAUGUGUGUACCCCACACCACACCAGACCCUCAGCACCC